GUAGAUGACUGAGGAACAGAGCGUGCAGGAGCAUCUCAGCCACUUUCAGAAGAUCCUCACCAACCUCCUCAAUGUUGGUGAGAAAGUUGAGGAGAAGACCAGGAUGUUGGUCUUGCUGGUGUCGCUUUCUCCAUAUGAGUCCUUGGUGACUGCUCUUCUAGUGGGGAAGAGCAAUAUCCAGAUGGAUGAGGUCACCACGAUGAUUCUUCAGAACAAGAUUCUUAGACGGGAGAACCCAACUUCGAGCUCAGACGGCAGCUCAGCUUUGACGAUUUUUGGAGGAGCAGGAGACGGCAGACGGAGCGAUAGGAGAUCAUGAUGAGAGUGAUCCAAGUCCAGAAUGAGAGACUUGAGCAAGAUCAGAUGUUAUCAAUGUGACGAGUUGGAACAUCUAGUCAGAAAUUAUCCUCAAUUCAAGGAUCGGAUGCGGGCUACUACAGUGACGGCCUGUAGCGAGUCAGAGAAUGAUGUCCUGGAGAUAUCUGAUGAGGUAUCUACUUCUUUCCAGUAGUGAAUUUUAGAUUCUGCAUGCAUCUAUUAUAUAUGUUGCAGAGAGGAGCAGUUUGACUUUCUGGAAAGCAGUGAGGGCACUGUUCAUCUGUCGGAUGGAUCGAGCUGUGCGAUCAAAGGUAUCAGGAUAGUCAGCUGGAGGACACAUGGUGCAGUGAGGAGAUUAGGGGAGGUCUGAUAUAUAUCCAGCUUCAAGAGAAAUCUUAUUUUUCUCAACAGACUGGAUCGACUGGCUACAGGUGGAGAGCUGAUGGAAGAAUCCUGAAGGUCAUGCGCGGCAAUAGGAUCGUGAUGCAGAGAAAGUAGUAUAGACGAUACUACCUCUUUGCAGGGAGUCUAGUACGAGAUGGAGCUCCAGGAGCAGGUGGAUCGGGCAUGAGACGAGAGAUCCGGAAGGAUGACAGACGAUGUCGUAAGGUGAAGUUCCUAUUAUCGCAGAAGACUAUGCUGAGCAGGUCUCAGGUCAGAGAGGACAACACGUGAUGGAGAUGGGAUUGAGCGGUCUGGCUCGACUCCCAUGUUUGUCCAUCCAUAAGCAGCAGGCAUUUACCUCAGGGCAUGGGGGCGAGAGAUAAGCUCUCAGAGUUAUUGUGGAGGUCAAAUAUUGAGUCGAGAGAGAUUGUUAAGAUUUGAUGUCUCGAGAUUUAAUUUAUAAGAAGCCCACAAUGAGGUCCAGGACGACGAACGGAGUCCAACGAGCCUAAGAAACAGUCCAAACAGAGUCCAGAUGGAGAUAUAGCGUGCGAAAGAAGGUCAAGGCAUGGUGGCACAGCCCACAGAGCAGCGGAGGCCGAUGGUGGGCUAACGGAGUCCGACGGUGGGCCGACGAAGGCCGGCAGUGGGCCAGUGGAGGUCGACAGCGGCCCAAUUUGCGGACGUGCUGGCUGCCACCAUUUUUUCUCGCGGUCCAUGGUGGACCGCGGGGUGUUGCACUGUCCACGCGAUCGCUGUGGACCGAUCGGGUGGUUCCUGUUCGAUUUCUCACGGUCUACGUGGACCAAAGGAGGUUUCUCAGGUGUUUCUCGCGGCUCACUAUGUUUUUGGUGGAUCGGAGACUUAUGUUGCGCGAUCGAACCGUUAGGACAGGAGCCGAUCUUGAUCUGGCAGCUGGAGAGGCAGUUUGACGCAAAUAGGAAUCGAUUUCUGAUCUGGUUUGGUUUCUGAGGCCUAUAAACUCACUCUGUGGCAACAGAGACAGGUGUGGUGAUUCGGCAGAGACCUAAAACCCGUGGAGUAGAGAGCAACAGCAGCCAAUAGAGAACAGAAGUACAUGGGUGCUUUGGAUAGACUAUCAGGCAGCAGACAAUAGUUGUUCAGGGGUUCAGAGGAUCUUUUGGAUUCUAGUGAGAGCUUUAUAAGGGUAGCUUCUAGUUGAGAGAGAUUGUGUAUAAGGGUUAAGAGUGUGAGAAUCUCCUCUUGUACUUAUUCCUUUCUCAUAGUGAAUCUUUGUAUGUCCCGUGGAGGUAAGUCUUGGGCUGAUCCAUAGACUUGAUUUUUUUCUUUUGUCUUGUAUUUAUUUUUUCUUCUUUCUCUUGCUGAUCGAGUGCAGCGCGAGUGAUAUCGAAAAGGUCCUGUGGUGGUAGUGUCUUGGCCAGACAUUCCCAACAGAUUUUAAGGAACACAACCUUUGAUACUUGAAUGGAUAAUAUGGUCAAGGGAUGUAUCUAAUUGUCGCAUUGGUCUUAAUUCAUUUGAACAUGAAGUGACUUGUCCUCAUCCUUGUUUAUAGUAUUUCAUUUUGACUCUUUUGUUGUAGGGCUUACUCCAAAACAUGCGUUUAUCAAGAGUUGAGCUUUUUCUACUUUGCCUUUUCUUUUCUACUAGCAGUUGAUUAACUGAGGCAUUUGAUUUAUGAUUAUUGUUUGUCGCAAUUAAUGUUUGUGUCUAAUUUGUGUGCAUUGCAACAAACUUUCAAUUCAAGAAUGCCAGUUUGGGUUCUCUGGAGCAGAUGAGCAUCCAGAAUGCAGUGCAGAAUUUUCAAGGCACAGCAAAAGACUGUGCUUGCCACUAGCACGAAAACAGAAGUUCCUGCCUCUGUUACUCUCAUGAUUAUGGUACUUGCAAUAAACUCAUAUUAUCAUUUUAUAUUAUCAUCGUGUUGGAAUUUAUUUGAAUAAUUGCUUUCUGUGAUUUAAAUAUAUACUAGCAUCCUGAUAAUGCACUAAUGAUGUGCAGUAUACAUACGUACUCUUUCUGUCAUAUAUCUUUCACGUGAUUUAGGGCAGCACAUCAGUGAUCUCUAACUUAUAUGAUGCAAGAGUGGAUGGCAGAUCUGAGCACCCAAGGGUUCCCUCCUGUCAAUGAAUCCUGGUCACAUCCUUAAACAGAUGUCUGUAAAAGGGAAAGUGCAUGUGAUUUGUCAUGGAAAAUAUGGUGAACGGAUAUGAGGGGUGGUUAGGUUGCAGAUGAGGGUCUGAUUAGGGGUUAAUGAAGAAAGCAUGGGAAAGAGUCCUGGAGCAUUACAAGAAAAGGUAUGGCCCACAGCUCAAGCAAGCAGCAUGCAAGAAUCAUUAAUGUCUAUAUCUUUUUGAGAAGAUUUAUUGCCUGAAUGGUGCUAGCUUUGGAAAAUGGAACCUUCUAUCGUUGUUGUUUGAAUUGUCAUCACCUGUGCAAUAGAAGGAAGGGGUGGGGGGCCUUAGGUGAACAAUUGUGAGAGUUUAUUUCUGGUAUGAUUCAAUCAUCAUCUUGGAGAAGAGUAUGUGUAUCUUUUAUUUUUUGCACCAUUGAACAAUUUUUCUUUCAGACUGAUGGCACUUUCCUAAUACUCGUGUAAUAGCAACUUGUGAAGCUGUCGAACGAAGUGUUGCAGCUGCAGAGCAUAUCUCCCAGGUUAAGUGGUCAUGUACUGAUGGUUGUAGUUCCUUCUGCAUUGCUUGAGUUGGUCUGGGUGCUAACUAAGCUAUUUGCAGUUAAUGAACAUCUUUAACUCAUAUCUGUGAGAAUAUCCUUUUUUUUUUUUGCAAUGCAUUGGUACGUAUUUACUGCUCAACCACAUCCUUGCAGGCAAAAUUUAAAUGCAUUUAGUUUGCAUGUGAGUAUUUUGGAAUCUCUAUGUUUUUGUAAUCUGACUAACAAGAAAAAUAAUUUCUAUUUUUUGUUCUGAAGGCACCAUAAAGAGCAUAAAUUUGAUAAGGCUUCUUCCCCUGUUUUGUACAUUAUUACUGGACUAUUUGAAGCAUAAAAUGGACUUGUUUGCAUUGGCACUUAUUAGCUUUCUGGUGAAAAUAAAUUACCUUUUCAUUUUAAUGAAGAAAGCACGCUCUCUCUUUAUGAAAAUGUUCAAGACUAUCAUUCAUCUUCGUGAAAUAUGAAGUGACAUUUAAUCACAGCCUGUAUUUUAUUUCAACUUUUAUGUAUCUCUUAAAAAUUAGUGCAUUUUCAAUCUCUGAAGAUUAUGGUGCUGGUUAAUUAUCAAAUAAUGAUCACGAUGUUAGAAGAAACUUGAAGAUGUUUACUCAUCUAGCCAGGCACCUGGUCAUCCAUGCAUUUUCAGGUUAUGGGUGUGAAAUUUCAGAUUAGUCGAAACUGCUUCUUGGCAUAGUUACUUUAAGCAAAUGUUUCAGUUGUCGUAAGUUUUCAUUGUAAACCUUUAAGCAGAGAAAGGUUAGCUUUUAACCAGUAUAGGAAAUUAUUUAGAAGCCAUUGUUUGUAACAUGCAUCACUUGGAUGAAAAUUCUUUGAUCCGUUUAUCGAGGGAUCUAUAAUGAAUUUUGUUUGAAAGUAUUUCUAGAAACAUUAAAGGAGGAUAUGAGUUUCAUUUCUAUAAAUGUCUGACAUCAUGCAAUUUAGCAGAAUCAGAGAACUUCCUCAGAAGUGUAAGAUAGUGGCAACAUAUUCUGGCAUCCUGAUCUAUGCCUUUGAUUAUUAUCUUUAUACUAGUUGUAUGUAGGCACACAUGCACACAUCAACUUCUGGCUCUUUUUUUUUUAAUUUUAAGGAUGGAAAGUUGAACAUAGUGUUUCAAAUAAGGCUCACUGAAUCAUACCGAACUGGUCAGUGCGGAACAUACCAAAUCGGUUUGGUCAGUUACCGGCAUGGUUUGGCCAAUCGAAACGAGAUGUAUUAGCCUCUCCCGAAACUGCCUCCAGCUCUCCCAAUGCCCUAAAAGACCUCACCUU